AUUAGUAGCAUCAUGGGUUCAGUAGCGGAUUUUUUCUGUAAAUGUGUGUUAAUUUGUGUGGCAGAAGCUUUCAGACCUGAACUGGAGUUAACAGACAUGAAGAUACUCGUGGUCAGUCUCUUUGGUUUAACUCCACUGUGAGUCAGUGACAGCAGGGCUGUAUUUCAUCACUGUGAGCCAGAAGAGCUUAGCAAAGAGGAAAAGGAAGAGGUGGAGCUGUUUGUAUAUAUAUAUAUAUAUAUAUAUAUAUAUAUAUAUAUAUAUAUAUAUAUACACAGACCUCACUGCGUCUCUGACUGCUGAAGAAUGUACAGAUUCACAGGAGCGAGAGUUUUAUCAUCAGUGAAGAUGAUGAAGACCCUUCUCUUCUUCACAAUCUGUCUGAUUAAAUGUAAGAUGCUGCUUUCUUUACAGUAUCAGUCUGUGUGUGACCGUUGUGUUUUAAUAUUUACUCAGCUGAUCAAAUUCAAGAAGUGUGUGUGUGUGUGUGAGUGAGAGAGAGAGAGAGAGAGAGAGAGAGAGAGAGAGAUCAUUUAUAUGUAAUUAUUUUCUCUUUAUUUGUGCAUGUUUGAGUUUGCUUGUUUCUGAUCAUAAGACCCUUAUUAAAAGAGGAAGUGUAUUUUGAUUGACAGGUCACAUGGGUGAUGAUACUGAUGCUGUCACUGGCAUCUCAGGAGGAAGUGUCAUCAUUCACUGUCUAUAUAACCCUGAAACAACUAAAGAAAGUGCAAAAAGCUUCUGCAAAGUGUCAGGCAGUGAAUGUACAACCAUGACAGAAGAAAAGAAAGAUUUAUGGAUCCCAGGCGAGAGAUUCUCUCUGACUGAUGAUAAAACUCUGGGUUUGAUUAGUGUGCUCAUUAGAAACCUGACUGUAAAUGACAGCGGGACGUACAGAUGUAAAGCUGACAGUAAACUCAUUCAGGAGGAGAAAUUAGAAGUGACAGAAGAGUCGUGUUGUGGGACGUCAGAGGAACAGACUGCUUAUUUAGGAGGAACUGCUGUCAUCCGCUGUAGAUAUCCAGAGAAAUAUAACAGUAGUAUAAUGCAGCUGUUUAAAGUCCAGAAUGGAUCACUGAUUGCUUUUUUGACACUUGGAGGUUUAAUCGAUCCUAGAUUUUCUCUGGAUGAGAACAAACAGGAGCAAGUCUUUACUGUGACUAUCGUGAAGGUGAGCAGACAUGAUGAUGGGGUUUAUUUCUGUGGAGCACGUGUCACAAACAAUCAUAGAAAGAUCGCCUACAGUCCACUUUUCACAGAGAUUCAGCUCCAUGUUACAGGUGAGAAACAAUUAACAACAAAUUAAACAUAACAUACACACAUAAUGUCAGAUAUACAAUGGAAUUUAAAUGUCUAUAUCAUCUAUGGACAACAAUGAAAAUCAAGAGCAAGGAGAUCCUUCAGUCCUGUCUGGUGAGUUCUUUAACACACACACACACACACACACACACACACACACAAAUAUAUAACAGUGCUAAUGUAGUAAGAGAGUGAUAUUAAAACACCAAACUCAGUAUACACCUCAGUGAUGAUGCAAACCAUAUACAGACAAACAGAUGAGCCCGGAGUAUGAAUAAAACAUGCUAAAUAUUACAGAAAAAAAGACAAAUUAAAAAUUGACAUUCUGGUUGGGAAAGUCUUGUAUAAUGCAUCUUACAGUUUUUUUUAUUCGCUUUGGUACUAUUAUCACAAAUAAGGUGUACAUUUUCAAAACUCUUAGUACAAAAAUCCAAACUGAUCACACUUGUAACACAGCUAGUCAUUCUUUCAAAACCUGAUCUCAUGCUUUCAUUCAGUUGCACGUGUUCAUUCCAUAUAAUCAUUGUUUCAAACACAAGAUUAUUGUAAUAUGUAAUGAGAAUAUUUGGUUUAAUCACCGAAACACAACAGUACGAUCUUCUUUCAGUUUAGUACUUUUAACAUUCAGUUUAUCCAACAGCAAACAAUGCAAGAUACUGGUUUCAAAUCGGCCUUAGAAGUGCUGAAAUUAAUAUGCUACAGUACUAUAAAAGACAGAUUACACAGUUUUAGCAUUAGGCAAUACACUUAUAUACCAAUAUAUUUAAUACAUUACCCAACAUUUACAUAAUCUAUAAUUUCCAAAAUAUCCAUCCUAUGUGUAAUCAAGUGAAGGAUCAAUGAAGACAUCCUCUACAAUAAUUUGGGCAAAUUAGUUUUUAUUUUUCAGAUAUAAUUGUAACAUAGGUAUACUUUCUAUAAUGAAAUUUAACUAAAUGAGAAGAAAACAUAACAUUUAGUGCACACAUUACAUUAAUUUGGAUCAAGCCUGUCUUGAGCAUUUGGCCAUAGAUUCUCAUCCACAUCACAAUGAAUGUUAUCAUUGUUCAAGCACCUUGGAAAAAGCCUUUUGGCGAGCAUGCUUGACAUUGGUCUACACUGAUGUCAUCACAUGCAUCAUCCAUGGCCUGAAGGAGGGUAGCACGCUCAAGGGGUUGGCGAUCAUAGACCUUCCACCUCCAUGCUGAAAAACAUUCCUCAAUAGGGUUGAGGAAGGGAGAAUAUGGAGGCAGGUAGAGGGUCAUGAAUCGGGGAUGGACCUGAAACCAUGCUUGAACUACCUCUGUGUGGUGGAACCUGACAUUGUCCCACACAGUUACAUAGGUGACCCCUUUAUACCUUGACAGGCUGGCUCAAUUUCACUGAGGAACUAAAUAAGAUGUGCAGCAUUAUAGGAGCCAAGUAAUGGCCUUCGUCCUAUAAAACCAUCUUCAGCGAUAGCUGCACACAUGGAGAUGUUUUCUCCACGUUGUAGAGGCACUUGGACAUAAUUUAUAUGUUCGUACAAACACACAUUUUAUUUCUGUAGUUCUCAAAAUCCAUAUACUAUAUAUUGCUGACAAACCAAUUUAAAAUCUAUAGGUUUACCAAACGGUUCAGUGAUUAACCAUUAAGAUCAGUUAGAUUAAAUAAUAGACAAAUGUAUUAAACUGAACGAGAAGAGAUGCAAAUUAAAAGUUUGAUAGUAAGAGAUUUAUGAAAGGUUGUUACUGUGAAUGAAACAUUUAUUAAGAUGAAACACUUAUUUUGUGUAGUGAAAAGGAUACUUUGUGGUUUUGUGUAUUGUACUAACACAAUCGAAAAUAUGCUCAAAUGUUUGAAAAAAGUGCACUUUUGAUGAUCUGAUGUGAUAUUAGUACUAUGUAAACAUUGCUUGUGAAAAUAGUAACAAAGUGAAUAAAAAAAACUGUAUUACAUGGCUCUGUGAAAUACUUGAUUCUGAUUUGUCAGUCAUGGCAUUCAGCGGUCAGAGAUUUCCUGCUGGCCAUGAUAACGCUGUCUAUUAGACUUCUUGAAUAUCAUUUUUAAUGCGGGGUGUGUGUUUCCAGAUCUCCACGUCAUCAUCAUUACAGUGUGUGUGUGUUUGGCUCUGGUGUUAGCCGGAGGACUGAGUGUGUUGUUGCUCAAGCGGAGGUGUAAGAAAACACAAGGUACGAAAUCAAACGCUCUGAAUCCAAACCGGAUGCUGAAAUGGUUUUAACUUCUGAUUUCUUAUAUGUUCACUUUCAUCAUUAUGUCCAUCCUCAGGCUCAGGCUCGUCAGAUCAGAGGAGCACAGGAGAUAAUGAUGAGGUAAGAGAGCAUCUACAAUCUUUAUCUAUCAGCAUGAUACAGUAUUGACCAAACCGUGUAAAACUAUAUUGGUGUUCAUUACAGAAGUUAUACAAAUGUUAAAAACCAUAAUAGAACUAAUCACAGAUGUUAUUUGAUUAAAAUAAUAAAUCUGUCCCUUUCAGGAAGUUUCAUCUGUUUAUUAUGCAACGAUCGCAGACUCUGGAAGCACAUCAUUACACUCAUCUGCUCAGAAAACUCUCAGAUUAAACACAGUAUACGACACGGCACAUUUACCCACAAACCCCUCUGACAGUGACUUCUACUCAUUGGCUGAACAGCCCAAAAUAUGACUUUAUAUGAAUACUGUUUGUAACUAUUUUGCCAGGUUUUUUUUUUUUCUUCUAAUUUCGGAUGAUCUGUUUGGUUCAAUAAAAUAAUCAACAGUGCUCCACUGUCAUAUAAAUGUAUUUUGGUAUGAAAAUCUACACAGUAAGAUCAAAUUGUCCAAAUCUCAGUUUAUUGGCUCUUUAAAGAGCACAGAAUUUAAAUUAAAUUUAAAUUAGUUAAUUUUGAAGCCAAGUCAUUCACUGAAGAUCUUAGCUUGGAUUCAUAAAAAAAGGACUGUUUGGGAGAAACAAAAAAGAAACACCUGCGUUUUUGUUUCCCUUUUUGACACAUAUUAACCAGAAAAGCUGAACAAAUGAAUGUGCAUUUGCGUUUUGUGUUAAAGUAACUGAAGAAGGCUCAUCCUCUCAUUAUGGGCUGUAAUGUCAUUAUUAGUUCAUACUGACACCAAGUGGUCACACGCAGGUUACACACUGUCCAAUAUGAACCAUGCCUGUUGUCUCUCAGCUGUGAUUAUAUUGUAGUCAUCGUGUGUGCUCAGCAGCACAUAUUCUGUCCUAAGAUCAAGAUUGCAUUUACUGAAUGAAGAUUCAGAGAAUAGAGGAAGUGAGCUUGAGCUCUUCAUUGAGAGACCAGCAGCUGCACACAGAUGAAGCAGAACGAUGCAGAUCUGUGAUGAUAAACUCCUCAUAAUUCAGCUGCUGAAAUAUGAUCAGAUGCUGAUAUAUCAGAUUCUCUCUGACUGACAAUAAAACAUCCCAUAUCUUCACCAUCACUGAUCUGAGAACAGAGGAUCGAGGUCAAUACUGGUGUGGAGUAAAGACUGGAUGGUUUAAUCCUGAUUAUAACUGAGAGAUUUACCUGGAAAUUAAACAUGGUAAGUCAGAAUGUACUGUAUAUGUACUGUAUUUAAAAAUAUACUCAAAAG
rnacentral:lncRNA from 1 species